ensembl:lncRNA
GUGCAUUUUUUCAAGGAGAAAAUGCGUGAUAUUCGGGAAAAAACUUGUGUUUCCGGACGAACAAUGCGUGAUUUUCGUUAGAAAAGUGGAAUUUUCCAGUAGACAAUGCGUGAUAUUCGUGUGAAAUGGGGUUCCUUCAGGCAGAAAACGCGUGAUUUUAGGGUGAAAGGUAAUAUGUUCAGGGAGAAAAUGUGUGAUUUUCCUUUGAAACGUAGAAUUUUCGGGAAAAAAAUGCGUGGUUCUUGGGUGAAAUGGGGUUGCUUCGCGCAGAAAAUGCGUGAUUUUCGGGUGAAACGUGUUGUAUUUUCGGAGAGAAAAUGCGUGAUUUUGGGGUGAAAGGUGGUAUUUUCGAGGAGAAAACGCGUGAUUUCUAUUUAAAAAGUGGUAUUUUUGGGAGGAAAAUGCGUGGUUUUUGGGUGAAAUGCGGUAUUUUUGAAGUGAACAUACGUGAUUCUAGUGCGAAAAAUGGUAUUUUUAUGGUAAAAAUGUGUGUUUAG